CCCGCUGAACUUAAGCAUAUCAAUAAGCGGAGGAAAAGAAACCAACAGGGAUUGCCUCAGUAACGGCGAGUGAAGCGGCAACAGCUCAAAUUUGAAAUCUGCCGCAAGGCCGAGUUGUAAUUUGUAGAAGAUGCUUUGGGUAUGGCCCCGGUCUAAGUUCGUUGGAACACGACGUCAUAGAGGGUGAGAAUCCCGUAUGUGACUGGGUGCUUUUGCCUGUGUAAAGCUCUUUCGACGAGUCGAGUUGUUUGGGAAUGCAGCUCAAAAUGGGUGGUAUAUUUCAUCUAAAGCUAAAUAUUGGCCAGAGACCGAUAGCGCACAAGUAGAGUGAUCGAAAGAUGAAAAGCACUUUGGAAAGAGAGUUAAACAGUACGUGAAAUUGUUGAAAGGGAAGCGCUUGCAACCAGACUUGCACGCUGUUGAUCAUCCAGGCUUCUGUUUGGUGCACUCAACUGCGUUCAGGCCAGCAUCGGUUUUGGUGGUGGGAUAAAGGCCUUGGGAAUGUAGCUUCUUUCGGGGAGUGUUAUAGCCCUCGGUGCAAUGCCGCCUACCGGGACCGAGGACCGCGCUUCGGCUAGGAUGCUGGCGUAAUGGUUGUAAGCGACCCGUCUUGAAACACGG
rnacentral:rRNA from 1 species